rnacentral:rRNA from 1 species
GACGAACGCUGGCGGCGUGCUUAACACAUGCAAGUCGAGCGGUAAGGCCCUUUCGGGGGUACACGAGCGGCGAACGGGUGAGUAACACGUGGGUGACCUGCCCUCAGCUCUGGGAUAAGCCUGGGAAACCGGGUCUAAUACCGGAUAUGACUCCAUGACGCAUGUUGUGGGGUGGAAAGCCUUGUGCGGCUGAGGAUGGGCCCGCGGCCUAUCAGCUUGUUGGUGGGGUGAU